rnacentral:rRNA from 1 species
GCGCAGCAGUCGAGAAACUUCACACUGUGCGAAAGCACGAUGAGGGAAUCCCAAGUGCUUGCACGUAAGUGUAAGCUGUUCCUCUGUUUAAAACGCAGAGAGAGUAAGGGCUGGGUAAGACGGGUGCCAGCCGCCGCGGUAAUACCUGCAGCUCAAGUGGUGACCGUUAUUAUUGGGCCUAAAACGUCCGUAGCCGGUUUAAUAAAUGCCUGGGUAAAUCGUGUAGCUUAACUAUACGAAUUCCGGGUAGACUGUUAAACUCGAGACCGGGAGAAGUUAGAGGUACUCCUGGGGUAGAGGUGAAAUUCUGUAAUCCUAGGGGGACCACCAGUGGCGAAGGCGUCUAACUAGAACGGGUCUGACGGUGAGGGACGAAGCCCUGGGGCGCAAACGGGGAUUAGAUACCCGUGUAGU